UUCAGCUGAAAAAAAAUAGUGGAAAAUCUUUUUAUCUUACAGGGUAUGGUCUUAAAGCUUUGUGCAACGCGAAUGGGUUUAAGAAAGGAGAUGCGUACAAGUUUGAGCUUGUAGAGAAUAAGAAUGACAAUCCCCCAGUUGUGAACUUAUCGUGCCCAAGUACUACUUCUGGAAAUGAUGACUGCAAUACUUCAUCAACGAGUGAACCCAACGCUGGUGAUUAAGACAUUUAGUGUCAUUAUAGGGAUCAAGUUCGAUUUGCAACGAAAUUAUCUGUCUCAGACUUCAAUAAUGUUGGUACUUAUUUGGUGUGAACGGUGAUUAUGAUGGAUCAUACAGAGAACUUAAUUACCGCAAGCUCUUUUGUUGUAUGUAGUACGUACAUUGGAUCGA